rnacentral:rRNA from 1 species
GACGAACGCUGGCGGCGUGCUUAACACAUGCAAGUCGAACGGAAAGGCCCGCUUGCGGGUACUCGAGUGGCGAACGGGUGAGUAACACGUGGGUAACCUGCCCUUGACUUCGGGAUAACAGUUGGAAACAGCUGCUAAUACCGGAUAUCACUGCUGCACGCAUGUGUGGUGGUUGAAAGUUUUUUCGGUCAAGGAUGGGC